GUCAGUUGUGAAAGUUUGCGGCUCAACCGUAAAAUUGCAGUUGAUACUGGCGACCUUGAGUGCAACAGAGGUAGGCGGAAUUCGUGGUGUAGCGGUGAAAUGCUUAGAUAUCACGAAGAACUCCGAUUGCGAAGGCAGCUUACUGGAUUGUAACUGACGCUGAUGCUCGAAAGUGUGGGUAUCAAACAGGAUUAGAUACCCUGGUAGUCCACACAGUAAACGAUGAAUACUCGCUGUUGGCGAUAUACAGUCAGCGGCCAAGCGAAAGCAUUAAGUAUUCCACCUGGGGAGUACGCCGGCAACGGUGAAACUCAAAGGAAUUGACGGGGGCCCGCACAAGCGGAGGAACAUGUGGUUUAAUUCGAUGAUACGCGAGGAACCUUACCCGGGCUUAAAUUGCAACUGACGGAAUCGGAAACGGUUCUUUCUUCGGACAGUUGUGAAGGUGCUGCAUGGUUGUCGUCAGCUCGUGCCGUGAGGUGUCGGCUUAAGUGCCAUAACGAGCGCAACCCUUAUCGAUAGUUACUAGCAGGUUAUGCUGAGGACUCUAUCGAGACUGCCGUCGUAAGAUGUGAGGAAGGUGGGGAUGACGUCAAAUCAGCACGGCCCUUACGUCCGGGGCUACACACGUGUUACAAUGGGGGGUACAGAAGGCAGCUACACGGCGACGUGGUGCUAAUCCCGAAAGCCUCUCUCAGUUCGGAUUGGAGUCUGCAACCCGACUCCAUGAAGCUGGAUUCGCUAGUAAUCGCGCAUCAGCCACGGCGCGGUGAAUACGUUCCCGGGCCUUGUACACACCGCCCGUCAAGCCAUGAAAGCCGGGGGUACCUGAAGUACGUAACCGCGAGGAGCGUCCUAGGGUAAAA
rnacentral:rRNA from 1 species